rnacentral:lncRNA from 1 species
GAUCAAUCACUGAACUAAAAAGUAGCUAGAUUCAAUAGCAACUAAAAAUUCUCCAAAUUCAUACUACAAAGUUUAGACAACCGAGUCAAAAAAUUGCAAUGCACUAAGUGUUCAACAACCAAUAUAUUAAAGAAAAAUAAUGGAUCAAUUUCAAGUAUUUGUGCCUUCUCAGUCGAAUCCAUGAGGAAAGCCGUAGGGCAUGGCUCAAAAUCCUGUGAUGUAUGAACAUUAUUAGUCAAACACCAAAGAUGCAAUUCACAAGGGAAACAUGCUUUAAAGAAUGCAUUACCUUGACCAUUGAGCAUGACUUGUCGAUAGUUCCUGGGAUGAAGUUGGAGGACUAUAAUUGCUGUGCAAACGCAAUGCUUUGUU